GAUGAACGCUGGCGGCGUGCUUAACACAUGCAAGUCGAACGAGAAGUGAAGACGGAAACCUUCGGGCGGAAGGCUUUAUUUCGAGUGGCGGACGGGUGAGUAACGCGUGGGUAACCUGCCUCAUACAGGGGGAUAACAGUUGGAAACGACUGUUAAUACCGCAUAAGACCACAGCACCGCAUGGUGCGGGGGUAAAAACUCCGGUGGUAUGAGAUGGACCCGCGUUCGAUUAGCCAGUUGGCGGGGUAACGGCCCACCAAAGCGACGAUCGAUAGCCGAUCUGAGAGGAUGACCGGCCACAUUGGGACUGAGACACGGCCCAAACUCCUACGGGAGGCAGCAGUGGGGAAUAUUGCACGAUGGGGGAAACCCUGAUGCAGCGACGCCGCGUGAGUGAAGAAGUAUUUCGGUAUGUAAAGCUCUAUCAGCAGGGAAGAAAAUGACGGUACCUGAGGAAGAAGCCCCGGCUAACUACGUG
rnacentral:rRNA from 1 species